rnacentral:rRNA from 1 species
GAUGAACGCUGGCGGCGUGCCUAAUACAUGCAAGUCGAGCGAACAGACGAGGAGCUUGCUCCUCUGACGUUAGCGGCGGACGGGUGAGUAACACGUGGAUAACCUACCUAUAAGACUGGGAUAACUUCGGGAAACCGGAUCUAAUACCGGAUAAUAUAUUGAACCGCAUGGUGCAAUAGUGAAAGACGGUUUUGCUGUCACUUAUAGAUGGAUCCGCGCCGCAUUAGCUAGUUGGUAAGGUAACGGCUUACCAAGGCAACGAUGCGUAGCCGACCGGAGAGAGUGAUCGGCCACACUGGAACUGAGACACGGACCAGACGCCUACGGGAGGCCGCAGUAGGGAAUCUUCCGCAAUGGGCGAAAGCCUUGCGGAGCAACGCCGCGUGAGUGAUGAAGGUCUUCGGAUCGUAAAACUCUGUUAUUAGGGAAGAACAAAUGUGUAAGUAACUAUGCACGUCUUGACGGUACCUAAUCAGAAAGCCACGGCUAACUACGUG